AAGUGAAACAUCUCAGUACCCUUAGGAAAAGAAAUCAAUUGAGAUUCCCUCAGUAGCGGCGAGCGAACGGGGAUCAGCCCAUUAAGUUAUGUGUGUUUUAGUGGAACGCUCUGGGAAGUGCGAACGUAGAGGGUGAUAUUCCCGUACACGAAAGGGCACACAUAAUGAUGACGAGUAGGGCGAGGCACGUGAAACCUUGUCUGAAUAUGGGGGGACCAUCCUCCAAGGCUAAAUACUCCUGACUGACCGAUAGUGAACCAGUACCGUGAGGGAAAGGCGAAAAGAACCCCUGUGAGGGGAGUGAAAUAGAUCCUGAAACCGCAUGCAUACAAGCAGUGGGAGCACCUUCGUGGUGUGACUGCGUACCUUUUGUAUAAUGGGUCAGCGACUUAUAUUCAGUAGCGAGGUUAACCGUAUAGGGGAGCCGUAGAGAAAUCGAGUCUUAAUAGGGCGUUUAGUUGCUGGGUAUAGACCCGAAACCAGGCGAUCUAUCCAUGAGCAGGUUGAAGGUUGGGUAACACUAACUGGAGGACCGAACCCACUGUCGUUGAAAAGCCAGGGGAUGACUUGUGGAUAGGGGUGAAAGGCUAAUCAAGCCUGGUGAUAGCUGGUUCUCCCCGAAAGCUAUUUAGGUAGCGCCUCGGACGAAUACCAUAGGGGGUAGAGCACUGUUUCGGCUAGGGGGUCAUCCCGACUUACCAAACCGAUGCAAACUCCGAAUACCUAUGAGUACUAUCCGGGAGACAGACUGCGGGUGCUAACGUCCGUAGUCAAGAGGAAAACAAUCCAGACCGCCAGCUAAGGCCCCAAAAUCAUAGUUAAGUGGGAAACGAUGUGGGAAGGCAUAGACAGCUAGGAGGUUGGCUUAGAAGCAGCCACCCUUUAAAGAAAGCGUAAUAGCUCACUAGUCGAGUCGGCCUGCGCGGAAGAUGUAACGGGGCUAAAACUAUGUGCCGAAGCUGCGGAUGUAUACUUUGUAUACGUGGUAGGGGAGCGUUCUGUAAGCCGAUGAAGGUGUGUUGAGAAGCAUGCUGGAGGUAUCAGAAGUGCGAAUGCUGACGUGAGUAACGACAAAACGGGUGAAAAACCCGUUCGCCGAAAGACCAAGGGUUCCAGUCCAACGUUAAUCGGGGCUGGGUGAGUCGACCCCUAAGGCGAGGCCGAAAGGCGUAGUCGAUGGGAAAAUGGUUAAUAUUCCAUUACUUCUGUGUAAUGCGAUGAGAGGACGGAGAAGGCUAAAUCAGCCUGGCGUUGGUUGUCCAGGUGAAAGGAUGUAGGCAUGUAUCUUAGGCAAAUCCGGGGUACUCUAUGCUGAGAUCUGAUAGCAAGCUGUACUUGUACAGCGAAGUGGUUGAUGCCAUGCUUCCAGGAAAAGUCUC
rnacentral:rRNA from 1 species